rnacentral:lncRNA from 1 species
GCACAGAGUGUACCAAUGUUAAGAUCUACAUCUACUGUCCAGGGUUCACCAAGACUAUUUUAUGGAUGAUUUUAACCUAUGUUUUACCCUUUAUGUUGCAAGAAUGGUCAGCAAGUAGAAAGUCUACAAAUAUAAGAAUUUGGGCUGAACUAGUCAGAAGACUUCUUAAGAUCUUAAAGAAAAUCAGUCAAAAUAAUGUUCAGAGUACAAUUGAAACUCUAAUUUUACCAAGUUUUAUGUUAUAAUUUUGAAAACUAUAUACAUGUAAUUAUAUUAUAACUAACAGAU